rfam:Triticum aestivum genome assembly, contig: Triticum_aestivum_CS42_TGACv1_scaffold_129509_2BL
CUUAUACCCUCUCCGUCCCAAAAUUCUUGUCUUAGAUUUGUCUAAAUAUGUAUGUAUCUAAUUACAUUUUAGUGUUAGAUACAUUCAUAUCUAGAUAAAUAUAAGACAAAAUUUUUGGAACGGAGGAAGUAUUAU